GCCUUCAUGGUGUAAUGGUCAGCACACUCGGCGUAUAUUCGAGAGGUCCUAGGUUAGAGUCUCGGCAAGGGCA
rfam:Stegodyphus mimosarum contig2114, whole genome shotgun sequence.